rnacentral:rRNA from 1 species
AUUGAACGCUGGCGGAAUGCUUUACACAUGCAAGUCGAACGGCAGCACGGGAGCUUGCUCCUGGUGGCGAGUGGCGAACGGGUGAGUAAUGCGUCGGAACGUGCCGAGUAAUGGGGGAUAACGCAGCGAAAGUUGUGCUAAUACCGCAUACGCCCUGAGGGGGAAAGUGGGGGAUCGCAAGACCUCACGUUAUUCGAGCGGCCGAGUCUGAUUAGCUAGUUGGUGGGGUAAAGGCCUACCAAGGCGACGAUCAGUAGCGGGUCUGAGAGGAUGAUCGCCACACUGGGACUGAGACACGGCCCAGACUCCUACGGGAGGCAGCAGUGGGGAAUUUUGGGACAAUGGGGGGCAACCCUGAUCCAAGCCAUUCCGCGUGAGUGAAGAA